UACUCGAGUGGCGAACGGGUGAGUAACACGUGGGUGAUCUGCCUUGCACUCUGGGAUAAGCUUGGGAAACUGGGUCUAAUACCGGAUAGGAACCGUCUUUAGUGUGGUGGUUGGAAAGUUUUUUGGUGCAAGAUGAGCUCGCGGCCUAUCAGCUUGUUGGUGGGGUAAUGGCCUACCAAGGCGUCGACGGGUAGCCGGCCUGAGAGGGUGUACGGCCACAUUGGGACUGAGAUACGGCCCAG
rnacentral:rRNA from 1 species